rnacentral:rRNA from 1 species
AUUGAACGCUGGCGGCAUGCUUUACACAUGCAAGUCGAACGGUAACGCGGGCUUCGGCCUGGCGACGAGUGGCGAACGGGUGAGUAACACAUCGGAACGUGUCCUGGAGGUGGGGGAUAGCCCGGCGAAAGCCGGAUUAAUACCGCAUACGCUCUGAGGAGGAAAGCGGGGGACCUUCGGGCCUCGCGCUGCAGGAGCGGCCGAUGCCGGAUUAGCUUGUUGGUGGGGUAAAGGCCUAUCAAGGCGACGAUCCGUAGCUGGUCUGAGAGGAUGAUCAGCCACACUGGAACUGAGACACGGUCCAG